AGAGACUGUGUUAAACAUCAUGGAGGAAAAAAGACAUCAUAUUUGCUCUCAUGUAGCUUACAGUUUAGAAGAAGAUGAAGCACAAUUCAAGUAAACUUGGAGCUUUGCAGAACAGAGAAGGUGGAGGCAAAGAGGAAGAGAAAAAGCACCAAAAGGAGAAAAAGCCAGUAAUGGAAGCUGGAGAGAAGAAUGAAAAUUUGAAAGAGGAGGAACCAAUACUCUUAAAAUAUUUUGUUGCACCACCCAGGACACUAUGAAAAUGAAGUUGCCACUGACUAGGAGUCAGCAGUAAUCUGCUGGCUUCAGAUGAACUCAAACCAACAUGGAACCCCAAAGACCAGGCU